CAGCAGUCGCCGCGGUAAUACGUAGGGUGCAAGCGUUAAUCGGAAUUACUGGGCGUAAAGCGUGCGCAGGCGGUUUUGUAAGACAGAGGUGAAAUCCCCGGGCUCAACCUGGGAACUGCCUUUGUGACUGCAAGGCUAGAGUACGGCAGAGGGGGAUGGAAUUCCGCGUGUAGCAGUGAAAUGCGUAGAUAUGCGGAGGAACACCGAUGGCGAAGGCAAUCCCCUGGGCCUGUACUGACGCUCAUGCACGAAAGCGUGGGGAGCAAACAGGAUUAGAUACCCGUGUAGUCCCUGUCUCUUAUAC
rnacentral:rRNA from 1 species